ACACAUGUCCAGUCAACGGCUGUAAUGACGCCACGUCAUUAGAACAAAUCUUCCUUUCCAUGUGUUCUCAGGUCACCCCUGCUGAGCUCUUUCUCUACCGUCAGUCUCUAUCAACGCUCAGUUGCUUCAUUCAUUCACCAAAUGACUGCCAAAUAUGAAGAAGAAACCCACAAUGAGUUCCAUCAAAAUGUUUGUGAUGAGAGAAGUUCUUAGCUUCAGCUAUAAAUGUUUAAGGAAGUCUAACCUCACGGAGGAGGCGGAGAGCGGCCGGACGAGUGAACUUCCGUGCAAAGAGGAAACACGGUGCCGGUUUCCCUUUACUAGUACACCAUUCUCUCCUGUAUUCCGUCUCAUAGUUGAUAUUGUCGAUACCCUAUGAGUCAAUGUGUUUGGUUAGAGUUUUUUUUUCCCCUGUUUUAAGCUUGUAAAAGAGUUCAAAGCCAUAGCAAGAGAAACGAAGGUACAUAUUGUGAUGGAAAUUUUUAGUUAUGCCAAAUAUAAUGUUGCUCAAUA